CAGGGAGACAACAAAAUGUUUAAUAUUACUAUUUUGUCACCUUAGGUCGAUCGGUAUCUCACGUUCUUGAUUAAUUAAGAAUUUCAUUUCCUAAGUUUUUCUAGGUCACACCCAUUUAUUUUCCUGGGCCAUUAGCUCAGGUGGUUAGAGCGCACCCCUGAUAAGGGUGAGGUCCCUGGUUCAAGUCCAGGAUGGCCCAUAUCUCUAUGUUGGGGGUAUAGCUCAGUUGGUAGAGCGCCUGCUUUGCAAGCAGGAUGUCAGCGGUUCGAGUCCGCUUACCUCCACUGAUUACCACCUCUACCAUAAUUUGUAGAAAGGAAAUGUUUUGAGUUGUGAUCUAAUUCUGAACGAAUCUAGCUUCCUAAUGAAAUCAUUAAGAUGCUGGACUCAUUGAAUUAAUUUCAUUGUUUUCAGAGAACCUUGACAACUGCAUAGAUUAUUUUUAAAGACAAUAAGCAUCUUUGUGAUGCAGAUUUAUUAUUUGUGCAAAUGCAUUAAUAACAAUUCUAUUAAGCUGAUGCUUCA
rnacentral:tRNA from 1 species